rnacentral:rRNA from 1 species
UUGAAGAGUUUGAUCAUGGCUCAGAUUGAACGCUGGCGGCAGGCCUAACACAUGCAAGUCGAGCGGUAGCACAGAGAGCUUGCUCUCGGGUGACGAGCGGCGGACGGGUGAGUAAUGUCUGGGAAACUGCCUGAUGGAGGGGGAUAACUACUGGAAACGGUAGCUAAUACCGCAUAAUGUCGCAAGACCAAAGUGGGGGACCUUCGGGCCUCAUGCCAUCAGAUGUGCCCAGAUGGGAUUAGCUAGUAGGUGGGGUAACGGCUCACCUAGGCGACGAUCCCUAGCUGGUCUGAGAGGAUGACCAGCCACACUGGAACUGAGACACGGUCCAGACUCCUACGGGAGGCAGCAGUGGGGAAUAUUGCACAAUGGGCGCAAGCCUGAUGCAGCCAUGCCGCGUGUGUGAAGAAGGCCUUCGGGUUGUAAAGCACUUUCAGCGGGGAGGAAGGCGUUAAGGUUAAUAACCUUGGCGAUUGACGUUACCCGCAGAAGAAGCACCGGCUAACUCCGUGCCAGCAGCCGCGGUAAUACGGAGGGUGCAAGCGUUAAUCGGAAUUACUGGGCGUAAAGCGCACGCAGGCGGUCUGUCAAGUCGGAUGUGAAAUCCCCGGGCUCAACCGGGAACUGCAUUCGAAACUGGCAGGCUAGAGUCUUGUAGAGGGGGGUAGAAUUCCAGGUGUAGCGGUGAAAUGCGUAGAGAUCUGGAGGAAUACCGGUGGCGAAGGCGGCCCCCUGGACAAAGACUGACGCUCAGGUGCGAAAGCGUGGGGAGCAAACAGGAUUAGAUACCCUGGUAGUCCACGCCGUAAACGAUGUCGAUUUGGAGGUUGUGCCCUUGAGGCGUGGCUUCCGGAGCUAACGCGUUAAAUCGACCGCCUGGGGAGUACGGCCGCAAGGUUAAAACUCAAAUGAAUUGACGGGGGCCCGCACAAGCGGUGGAGCAUGUGGUUUAAUUCGAUGCAACGCGAAGAACCUUACCUGGUCUUGACAUCCACAGAACUUAGCAGAGAUGCUUUGGUGCCUUCGGGAACUGUGAGACAGGUGCUGCAUGGCUGUCGUCAGCUCGUGUUGUGAAAUGUUGGGUUAAGUCCCGCAACGAGCGCAACCCUUAUCCUUUGUUGCCAGCGGUCCGGCCGGGAACUCAAAGGAGACUGCCAGUGAUAAACUGGAGGAAGGUGGGGAUGACGUCAAGUCAUCAUGGCCCUUACGACCAGGGCUACACACGUGCUACAAUGGCAUAUACAAAGAGAAGCGACCUCGCGAGAGCAAGCGGACCUCAUAAAGUAUGUCGUAGUCCGGAUUGGAGUCUGCAACUCGACUCCAUGAAGUCGGAAUCGCUAGUAAUCGUAGAUCAGAAUGCUACGGUGAAUACGUUCCCGGGCCUUGUACACACCGCCCGUCACACCAUGGGAGUGGGUUGCAAAAGAAGUAGGUAGCUUAACCUUCGGGAGGGCGCUUACCACUUUGUGAUUCAUGACUGGGGUGAAGUCGUAACAAGGUAACCGUAGGGGAACCUGCGGUUGGAUCACCUCCUU